rnacentral:rRNA from 1 species
UGCAAGUCGAGCGAACAGAUAAGGAGCUUGCUCCUUUGACGUUAGCGGCGGACGGGUGAGUAACACGUGGGUAACCUACCUAUAAGACUGGGAUAACUUCGGGAAACCGGAGCUAAUACCGGAUAACAUUUGGAACCGCAUGGUUCUAAAGUGAAAGAUGGUUUUGCUAUCACUUAUAGAUGGACCCGCGCCGUAUUAGCUAGUUGGUAAGGUAACGGCUUACCAAGGCGACGAUACGUAGCCGACCUGAGAGGGUGAUCGGCCACACUGGAACUGAGACACGGUCCAGACUCCUACGGGAGGCAGCAGUAGGGAAUCUUCCGCAAUGGGCGAAAGCCUGACGGAGCAACGCCGCGUGAGUGAUGAAGGGUUUCGGCUCGUAAAACUCUGUUAUUAGGGAAGAACAAAUGUGUAAGUAACUGUGCACGUCUUGACGGUACCUAAUCAGAAAGCCACGGCUAACUACGUGCCAGCAGCCGCGGUAAUACGUAGGUGGCAAGCGUUAUCCGGAAUUAUUGGGCGUAAAGCGCGCGUAGGCGGUUUCUUAAGUCUGAUGUGAAAGCCCACGGCUCAACCGUGGAGGGUCAUUGGAAACUGGGAAACUUGAGUGCAGAAGAGGAAAGUGGAAUUCCAUGUGUAGCGGUGAAAUGCGCAGAGAUAUGGAGGAACACCAGUGGCGAAGGCGACUUUCUGGUCUGUAACUGACGCUGAUGUGCGAAAGCGUGGGGAUCAAACAGGAUUAGAUACCCUGGUAGUCCACGCCGUAAACGAUGAGUGCUAAGUGUUAGGGGGUUUCCGCCCCUUAGUGCUGCAGCUAACGCAUUAAGCACUCCGCCUGGGGAGUACGACCGCAAGGUUGAAACUCAAAGGAAUUGACGGGGACCCGCACAAGCGGUGGAGCAUGUGGUUUAAUUCGAAGCAACGCGAAGAACCUUACCAAAUCUUGACAUCCUUUGAAAACUCUAGAGAUAGAGCCUUCCCCUUCGGGGGACAAAGUGACAGGUGGUGCAUGGUUGUCGUCAGCUCGUGUCGUGAGAUGUUGGGUUAAGUCCCGCAACGAGCGCAACCCUUAAGCUUAGUUGCCAUCAUUAAGUUGGGCACUCUAGGUUGACUGCCGGUGACAAACCGGAGGAAGGUGGGGAUGACGUCAAAUCAUCAUGCCCCUUAUGAUUUGGGCUACACACGUGCUACAAUGGACAAUACAAAGGGCAGCUAAACCGCGAGGUCAUGCAAAUCCCAUAAAGUUGUUCUCAGUUCGGAUUGUAGUCUGCAACUCGACUACAUGAAGCUGGAAUCGCUAGUAAUCGUAGAUCAGCAUGC